rnacentral:rRNA from 1 species
UACGUAGGGUGCAAGCGUUGUCCGGAAUUAUUGGGCGUAAAGAGCUCGUAGGCGGUUUGUUGCGUCGGCUGUGAAAUCCCGAGGCUCAACCUCGGGUCUGCAGUCGAUACGAGCAAACUAGAGUGUUGCAGGGGAGACUGGAAUUCCUGGUGUAGCGGUGAAAUGCGUAGAGAUCAUGAGGAAGACCAGUGGCGAAGGCGGGUCUCUGGACAGUUCCUGACACUGAGACACGGAAGGCCCAGGGGAGCAAAACGGG